GAGCACACCCCUCGUCAUUAGUUCCCAUCAUUAAGUUGGGCACUCUAAUGAGACUGCCGGUGACAAACCGGAGGAAGGUGGGGAUGACGUCAAGUCAUCAUGCCCCUUAUGACCUGGGCUACACACGUGCUACAAUGGACGGUACAACGAGAAGCGAACCUGCGAAGGCAAGCGGAUCUCUGAAAGCCGUUCUCAGUUCGGACUGUAGGCUGCAACUCGCCUACACGAAGCUG
rnacentral:rRNA from 1 species